AACGCACAUUGCGCCCCUUGGUAUUCCAUGGGGCAUGCCUGUUCGAGCGUCAUUUGUACCUUCAAGCUCUGCUUGGUGUUGGGUGUUUGUCCUCGCCUUAUGCGCUGUAGACUCGCCUCAAAACAAUUGGCAGCCGGCGUACUUGCCUUCGGAGCGCAGCUACAUUUCGCGCCUUGCACUCACUUGAACGACUUGACGUCCAUUAAGCUACAUUUUUACACUCUUGACCUCGGAUCAGGUAGGGAUACCCGCUGAACUUAA
rnacentral:misc_RNA from 1 species